UUGGAAGCCUCGGUAUUUCGC
rnacentral:siRNA from 1 species